UACGUAGGGACCAAGCGUUGUUCGGAUUUACUGGGCGUAAAGGGCGCGUAGGCGGCAAUUCAAGUCAUCUGUGAAAUCUCCGGGCUUAACUCGGAACGGUCAGGUGAUACUGCUUUGCUAGAGUGCGGAAGGGGCAAUCGGAAUUCUUGGUGUAGCGGUGAAAUGCGUAGAUAUCAAGAGGAACACCUGAGGUGAAGACGGGUUGCUGGGCCGACACUGACGCUGACAGCGCGAAAGCCAGGGGAGCGAACGGG
rnacentral:rRNA from 1 species